rnacentral:tRNA from 1 species
GGGGAUAUAGCUCAGUUGGUAGAGUGUCUGCCUUGCAUGCACAAGGCCCUGGGUUCAAUCCCCAGCACCA